rnacentral:sRNA from 1 species
GGAAGGAUCAUUACCGAAUCGUCGAACACGGGUUGUUGCUGGCCCCCAAACGGGGCAUGUGCACGCUCUGUUUACACAUCCACUCACACCUGUGCACCCUCUGUAGUUCUGUGGAUCGGGAGACGCCGUCUUCCUUCCGUAGCUCUACGUCUUUACACACACACCGUAGCGAUGUCUCAUGGAAUGUUUUUCGCGUUUAACGCAAUACAAUACAACUUUCAGCAACGGAUCUCUUGGCUCUCGCAUCGAUGAAGAACGCAGCGAAAUGCGAUAAGUAAUGUGAAUUGCAGAAUUCAGUGAAUCAUCGAAUCUUUGAACGCACCUUGCGCCCCUUGGUUAUUCCUCGGGGCAUGCCUGUUUGAGUAUCAUGAACACCUCAACUCUCAUGGUUUUCCAUGACGAGCUUGGACUUUGGGGGUUUGCUGGCCCUGCGGCCGGCUCCUCUCAAACAAAUCAGCUUGCCAGUGUUUGGCGGCGUCACGGGUGUGAUAACUAUCUACGCUCGCGGUCGUCCGCCAGGUAACCCUCAGCGAUGAAGGUUCAUUGGGGCUCAUAAACGUCUCUCCCCAGCGAGGACAACUUUUUAACGUUCGAUCUCAAAUCAGGUAGGACUACCCGCUGAACUUAAGCAUAUCAAUAAGCGGAGGAA